rnacentral:rRNA from 1 species
CUACGUGCCAGCAGCCGCGGUAAUACGGAAGGUCCAGGCGUUAUCCGGAUUUAUUGGGUUUAAAGGGAGUGUAGGCGGUUUGUUAAGCGUGUUGUGAAAUUUAGGUGCUCAACAUUUAACUUGCAGCGCGAACUGUCAGACUUGAGUACACGCAACGUAUGCGGAAUUCAUGGUGUAGCGGUGAAAUGCUUAGAUAUUAUGAAGAACUCCGAUUGCGAAGGCAGCAUACGGGAGUGUAACUGACGCUUAAGCUCGAAGGUGCGGGUAUCGAACAGGAUUAGAUACCCUGGUAGUCCGCACAGUAAACGAUGGAUGCCCGCUGUUAGCGCCUGGCGUUAGCGGCUAAGCGAAAGCAUUAAGCAUCCCACCUGGGGAGUACGCCGGCAACGGUGAAACUCAAAGGAAUUGACGGGGGCCCGCACAAGCGGAGGAACAUGUGGUUUAAUUCGAUGAUACGCGAGGAACCUUACCCGGGCU